GCUGAUCAACUUUUCAAUGGGUUUAGCAAGGAACAACUGCUUUUCAAAAUUAGAGGAGUUAAGGAUUUUGGCAAGGCUACAAAGUUGCUUUUUAGACAGAUGUUUUGUCAGGAAGAGGUUGAUGGCUGCACCGCGACAGGUUUUGCUGGGAAACGGGCCAUCAACCAGAGGAAAAAAGAUGUUUUAUGUGAUAUAGUCCAAGAGAAUUUUUCAAAAGCGAGCAUCGCAGACAUCAACAGAAAGAUUGGAGACCUACUAAAACCCUCAUUUAUUUGCAAUAGAAAAUAUUAAAACUAUUGAUAAAUUUCAUGGCAUCCACGAUCUUGAUUUUUAGCUCACCUGGUCCGAAGGACCAUUGUUAGCAUUAUGGCAUUCCGCAGUGUCCGUCCGUCUAUCCAUCAACUAUUCCUUUAAAACGCCAAGUCCUGAACAGCACGUUUUCACAUGCAGAAUGUGGAAAAUUUGUGGAUUUUUUUACGCAUUUUCUACGCAAGUGCGUAAAUUUUUAUUUUUUCAAUUUUUACGCAUUUGUGGAAUUCUGAAUACUCUGCACUUGCGGAAAAAGUGUGUAAUUUACAAUGCGGAGAAUAUGCGGAAAUACUGUGGAAUUACGCAUUCAAUGCGUAAUUUGUAGGUAAGGGUACUGGAGGAGGAGAUAAUAGAGGACGCGAACGCGAACGAAAAUGUGAACGGACAACUCAGAAGGUCUGGUAGACUCAAACAAUUACCAGCUAAGUUCAAAGACUACCAAAUGUCUUAGAUCGUGAAGCGAAACGCUUUGUGAAAGUAGAACUUUUCCAGGAAUGUUGUGGACACUCGUAAUAACACUUAGUAUAAUUCUUCUAAAUCAAGUAAUUUAGGAAUUCUAGUCAGUUUCGGAAAUUGUGUUAUAUGAACUUUUGCUAUUUUUGUUUCAGGAAAAAUAAUGAACAUUGAUAAUUUGUAGCUAAGUACAAACUACAAUUACUAGUAUUGGAACUAUUGUUAAUCAUUUUUGACUGAUAUAAGAUUUUGUUUAAUCUGAUCUUAUUAGAGUUUAAAUAUGGUUAAAGUUUCUAAAUUCAGCAAUUAGCUUAAUGUUUGUUAAUUUCAUAUAAAUGUUAAGGUCAGAUACAAACUUUCGUAUUGAUAAUUAAGAUAGCGCAAAGUUUAGAAAAAGGGAAGAGAAUGUAGUAUUCGUAUACUAUAUGUUAUUGAUAACCUUAAUAAUAUCUACAGUCGUUAUCAAUUGUAUAUGUAACGUGAAUCAUUCAUGUUAUGUGACAUGCGCAAUAAACCGGAAGUUCUAUGUGUGAAGACCUUGAAUGGUGUUUGUUAUGUUAAUAACUAAAGAUUCUGAUAGUGAAACAGACCUAAUACCUGCAAGAAGACCAUAUCAGGACACUAUGAGGAGAAUGACAAAGAUUGUGAACCUUAAGCCUAACAGUGAUGUAAUGCCACCUCUGGAACUAUAAGGGGAGCUAACGAAAAAUGAAACCGCAGCGCAUGAAAUGAUCAGCAGGUAUGAUUUUGUUUUACAUUUUCACCAAAAUAUAUCAACAAUUUUACUUAAAAAUAUGCAUGAAAAAAUAUUUAACAUACAUAAAUUGUUUUUUUUUAAAAAUAUGUACAGUUUACUGUUUUAUUCUUUUUUAGGAGAUGGUCAAGACUAAACAGAUAACUUUUUGAAUUGUAAAAAAAACAAAAAAAAACAAAAAAAACAACAAAACUCAAUAAAAAAUUGACAAGCAGAUAUAUAUCUUUUUAGUUGGAAUGAGGUUUUCUGUAAAUGUUGAAAUCAAACAAACUUUCAAUUGAAACUGUUCGCCACAGUUCCCCUCCAGGCUGUACCGCUUCUACUCUAGGCUGUCCCCCUUGAGCACGUAUUUCUUCUUGCUCCUCUACAGAGGUUCCUAUAUUAGCUGGAGGCGUCUCUAUAGUGCCCAUUUCCAAAUCAUGUACUGCUUCUAACAGUUUGAAAAAAGAAUAUUUUAAACACAUAUAGUAGGAUCAAUAUUUUCAAAAAUCUCAAAUUUAUGCUAUUGCAAGUUAUUCUGUAACAUUUAUCUAUACCUUUAUGUCUCUGUCUUAGAUUGUAUAGGCGCCUCCUUAUCCUUAAAUUGUGACGUCUUACAUUCUCAGGUCUAUUGACUAGCCUUCUAUUGGGAGCUUCUCUAUUGAGAGGUUCUCUAUUGGUCAGUCUUAAACUCUCCAUAAAGUAGAUCAUGACAGCCAAUAUGAAAUCCGAAAAUAAUGAAUAUAUUUACCUCUCUUUUCUCCUACACACAAAGAAAAGGCUGAUCAUCCCGAGAAAGACUAUGAUAGUAGCUAAAAUAAGAAAAAAAGGUUUAACCAAGUAAGGGCUGUUCCAGAAAAAAAGACAUCCCCCCCUGGGACGGAAAACUUUUUUUGUUAACGUGGGUGGUUGAACAUUGAAUAAAAUCGUAGUUAUUGGUUGUUGUUGUUGUUGUAUUUUCGUUUCUGUGGGUCGUUGUACGUUGGAGAAAUAAAAAAAAAAUAUUUAAAAAAUAAAUAAAACCUGAUUAAUUAAUUUACAUGGUGGUGUGAUAUGAAAAUAUCUGGUUGAAGCUCGGAUGUAGAUUUGCAUUAUUGAAAUACGUGCUGAAACUUUGGCAGCGUGACAUUACUGUAUCGCUUGCAAGUCGCUUCCGGUAUGUGGGUCAAGGGACGCAACUUCUAUGAUAAAAAAAAUCAAUCUUGAUAGAGGGCGCUGUUAUCACUUCACAAAAAUGGCUGCCCAUUCGCGUGGUUGGAGCCCGGAAGAUGUGGGAAGAUGGAUGGCGAGGCAUGGUUUAGGCCAAUUUUCCGCCUCGUUUAUCGGUAAGAACAUUAUUAAUGUGAUGCUGACAGAUUAUAAUACUAUGUUCUUUCAUAAAUUAUGUUGAACGAUAACAUGACCCGCCAUUACUUGAUCGAUCUGUUUACAUUAAAACGCUGUCACUUCACACGUGGUCAGACUGGGCAUUUCCUCGGAAAGUCGAUACCAUCUCCAAUUUUCAGACGAUAAAAAGUCAUGAAAUAUGACGAUAAACGAAAACUGUUCAACCAAAAGUUGUUUGCAAUAACCAAUACUAGAUAUCGAUUUUUCAAUAACGAAAGUGAAAUCUUAAAUUCAGAUUUUUCAUAUCAUGAUAUAGGAAACUGAAAGUACAAAUCAAGUUGCAUUCAACCGAAAAAUACAAAGACCUCUCGCAAAGUCUCGACUUUCCAGGGAAAUGCCCAACCUGGUUGUGACUUGUUGAUCCUUCUUCCAAAUA